ensembl:lncRNA
GUGUUCAGUGACCAUGUCAGGUGUAGGCCCAGGAAUUUGAAGGUCUGCGUCGUUUGUGUGUGUGUGUGGGUGUGUGUGCAAUUUUACAAGAAACCCAGUGUUAUAUUUUUAUGUAGGCAUUUCUUCGGAAAUUUUACUUCAUCGAGCUGUUCUCUAAUCUUCUAAAGAUCACAACCUCGAUUACCAGAGAAUGGAAAUAAACACUUCCUCCUCUGGCUGCUUGACACGAAAUGGGUCAAAAGAAAUCAAGAGAAACCUCCCAGAAAUUAUCUGGAACAAUGAUGACACUGGGCAUUACGUGAAACUGAGUAAAAGUAUAAGCCUCCUCAUGUCCUAUAUAAGACUUGGAUCAGUAGCCGGAUUUCACUCGUUGGUCAGGAAGAACGAAAAGCAAAAAGAUGGCAAGCAAAAUUCCCAGCGGCAGCAAAAGGACCAGAGACCCCUCUACUCAGAGGGUAAAGGUCAAGUUUUUGAUCAAUAUACCUUUGAAGGUGGAUUCAGAGGUUGAGGCAAAGAAGAGGUGUGGUUAUCUCCUCGAUGCUUUAAUUGAUGGAUUUAGGGAAGAGGAUCGGAAAUUAAUAAAGGAUAAGAAUGGCAAAGUCGUUCUGGAAGACGUAGCUGUGAUUUUUGGCAUGAACGGAAAAUAUAACGCAAAUCUAGCUGAGGUCCUCAAGAAGCUCCAGACCUUCAGGUACAAUUGUAAAUAUGAUAUCAAGUAUUCUAUAAUCACGUACACCUGGGGAAGCGGUGGAACAAUAGCACCAAAUGCGACUAUGACACCGUACCAGGAUAUUCGAGAACAUCUGAAAAAGGACGCUGCUACAACAAAACUUGUGGAGGAGUUGAGGGGGGGCGAUCCAGCAUGUCUGGUUUACUUCAGUUUCGUUGAUAGCGACACAGUCAGAUUCAACUUCAUCUACAGUGAAUACUUACAAAUUGUGAGAGAGGAGCUGGACAAAGACUCCAUCCCGCCCACCGUGAUGUCAACUGGUUACGAGUUCGUCCACGACAGCAAGCAUCACAUUGGGAGUUGGCUGGACCGCUGGAUUCGUGUAGCCAUGGCAGAGGUCGAUCCUCUGCUUGUGUACUACCCAGAACCAAACUUCUGUGUUCUAGUGUGUGAUGGACUCAACACCCUACAGGAGAGCUUCAUCAAGCCACGUAGGAAGACGAACGAGUACAAGAUGGAGUCACCAGUUCUGAUCUCGCAGGUCAAAAAGCGUGCCCAUUUUAAAGCUGUGUUUCCCGACAGAAAUCCCAUCAUCAUCAUUGAUCCGGAGAGAUUCAGCCUUCGUGGCGAGGGCUUAAUUACCGGACAGUCAUGUCUGGAUGCGAGAAAAUUGGCAAUCUGUGCUUACUCUAAUGGGGUACUCACAAAUAAAGAAACAUAUAUAAAGGAGGAUCGCCCAAAUGAAACCAAACUGCUGAAAGGAGUAACUGGCUUAAACAGAGGGUUUAUCAUUGACUUACUUAACUCUAAAGAUGACAAGGAAUUUGAAAAGCUGAGUCAGAAAAAUCCAUACAGAAUGUACGAAGAAGAUGCAAAACCACUAGUCGAUGCUAUUAGAGAAGCAAGAGAAUUAAAAAAGUUUUUUUAUGAGUUUAAUGACAAGCUCCCUGAAUAGAUUUCAUUAAACUCAUCUGUUUCUUCCCCUCAUUCUGAUCGAAAAAUGAUUGUAUGCAAAUUACACAUAUAUAUCCAUAUGUUUAUAUACAGUACAGUCAUCUGAAUCUGGAACAGCUACAAUAAUUAUGGCCUGUUUUAUGUAAAUAAUGUGCGCAUGUUAUGGAAAUGAAGCUGAUUAUGAAGCUGAUCAAUUUGAUGCUGUAUAGCAUUUUAAUGAAUAGUUUGUAGCUGGUGUUGAAGCUUGAAUCGUAAAUAACAAAUAAAUGUGUACUUAUUAAAGUGGCAUCUAAUGCUAUCUGCUGAGUAAUUAAAAUAUGAGUGCAUUCUGAAUUAUAUUUACCCUUUUACAUUUAUUUCCCCAAAUGAUUUUAGUUGUUUGCUGUUGGCCAGAAAAGUGUUUAUUAAUAUUAAUUAGAUUUUGAUUUGUGCAUUGCUAUAAUCAAUAACCUAUAAAAUGACUAUAAAGGGAUUAUUUGUCAGUGUGUUAUUAUUUUAUUUUUUUUAAAUCGUAAUUUUUAACAAAUCGGAAGCUUUAUUUGAUUCUGGACAAAUGUAUUAAAGAUGUAAAGAUGAAGAAAUAUAGCCUGGAUAUUAUGUGUGUCAUUUUUUGAGUGUUAGUUCUUAAUAGUGAGGUAGCCUAUUUAAAAAAACAAACAAACUAGAUACUUGAUUAAAAAUAUAAGAUGCCUUUCUGGCUUAAAACUAAUAUACAGUAACUGUGGACUGUAUGUGGGGGAACUUUCUACUUUAUUACUGAACACCACUGAUGUGUGGACCACAGAGUGUGG